ACAUUCUAGACGUCGCAAUCCAAACAAUCAACGAAUGUUCCAACUAGGAACGGAUAUCAAUCCAGAUUGCAAAGGAAGUAUCAAAUACAUAAACUACUGCUAUUACAAGCAUUCAUUUCAUCACUUAGUACAUCUCAGUUUCAAUUUACAUUUUACUUCCAAAUUACAAUCACAUUAUUACAACAUUUAGUUUACAAGUUGAUACACUUU
rnacentral:lncRNA from 1 species